CUUUGAUGGUGAUUGCAUCGUCUGUGGACCUAUUUGGGCGGUAAGCAAAUUGAAGUGGGUCAAGCACUUCAUGAUGACAGAAGUGACUUUCUAAUCAUUUAGUUUAGUUACCUUUGCAUUCUUUAUACAGGAAAUAUGUUGACCAUCUUGAAGCAUGUGGGGACAAGACCCAUAGCAAUUAAGGGAGAAAGACAAAGCUGUGUGUGAACUCGGACAUUUGUACUGCUGUACUUCCACCACACACUCACCGCUCUCUCCCUGGUCUGUCUCCUCCUGUCUGGUACUGGUACCUCCACCACACUCACCCUCUCUCUGUUCACCGUCUGCCGUGGCCUCUCUCCCCCUGUCUGGUACAGGUACCCCACCUCACUCCCCUCUCUCUCCUGAGCUUUUGCUCGCCUCCAGCACACACACACUGUUGGGUCGAGUGAUUCUGAACUUACAAUGGCCCCAAGUAGAUAUAUUUUUUCUUCCUCUGCAUUUAGCUAUUUUGCUAUUUGCCUCAUGACUCCUGUAUACUUUGGUGACUACAAACUUUCUUUUUACCCAACAGUGGGACAGACUAUGUUUGUUCCCACACUCAGAACUCUGGCUCUCUAUUACACAGACUUUUGGCCUCCCAUCCUAUUCUAACCACCUCUCACCGGCUUUGUGUUCAUGUUACCUGCUGAAAUUGCUGUACAACAUGAUCUUGUUGCCAUCUGAUGCACAUUCAGAUAUCAUAAAUCAGCACUGCAGAGCUCUCCCUGUCCUCUGCCGUGCCUUGAUUGUAUUACUGUUGAUGAUAUCUGGAAAUGUGCAUGUACACCCUGGCCCAUCUACUGUUGCUGGCCCUAAUUCUGACUUGUUCUCUGAUAUCUGCUUCACUGAUUUCUGCUCUCGUAAAAGCCUGGGUUUUCUGCACGUUAACACUAGAAGCUUAUUACCUAAAAUGGAUCAAUUCAACGUGUGGGUUCACAGCUCCAAUACAGAUGUGUUGGUCAUUACUGAGACGUAGUUAAGGAAGAGUGUUUUGAAUACUGAUGUUAACCUGUCUGGUUGUAACCUUUUUUCGGCAAGACAGAUCUUCCAAAGGUGGGGGAGUGGCAAUCUUUACCAAGGAUCACCUUCAGUGCUCACUUGCUAAAGAAAACGUUAAUGAGCAAAGCCUUCCUUCAUGACCUGGCCUCUGUAAAUUGGUAUAGAAUCAGCAUGAUCCCCUCUGUCAAAUACCUUUAAAAAAAAUGUUUUAAGUGAUAUUGUUAACAUUUAUCCCCCUAUAAAGAAAAUUAGAAUUAAAAACAGGUUCAACCCCUGGUUUGAUAUGGCAGCGUUACUCCAUCUCAUGAAUUUGCAUUUGGCGAAAGUCUAAGCAUACUGAGUGUUACCGAUACAGGUGUCCUGUGUGUAUUUGUUCUCUCUCCUUCUGCCCUAGUCACAGGCGGCAGUCAUCAGUUGCCAAUCAGUCGCCAAUCUGAAGACACACCUGCUCCGUUUCCCUUACCCAAUCACAUCCCCUUUCCCUUGUUUUAAUUAAAAGAAACCC
ensembl:lncRNA